rnacentral:rRNA from 1 species
AUUAGCUAAUUGGUAGGGUAAGAGCCUACCAAGGCGACGAUGGGUAACCGGCCUGAGAGGGUGAACGGUCACACUGGGACUGAGACACGGCCCAGACUCCUACGGGAGGCAGCAGCUAAGAAUCUUCCACAAUGGGGGAAACCCUGACGGAGCGACGCCGCGUGGACGAUGAAGGCCUAGAGGUUGUAAAGUCCUUUUGCAGACGAAGAAUAAGGCAAGGAGUGGAACGCCUUGCUGAUGACGUUAGUCUUGCGAAUAAGCCCCGGCCAAUUACGUGCCAGCAGCCGCGGUAACACGUAUGGGGCGAGCGUUGUUCGGAAUUAUUGGGCGUAAAGGGCGCGUAGGCGGUGCUAUAAGCUUGGUGUGAAAUCCCCCGGCCUAACUGGGGAAUAGCGCUGAGAACUGUAGUGCUUGAGUUCUGGAGGGGAAGCUGGAAUUCCUGGUGUAGGGGUGAAAUCUGUAGAUAUCAGGAAGAACACCGGUGGCGAAGGCGGGCUUCUGGCCAGAAACUGACGCUGAGGCGCGAAAGCGUGGGGAGCGAACAGGAUUAGAUACCCUGGUAGUCCACGCUGUAAACGAUGUGCACUGGGUGUCGGGGCUUUAAUGGGUCUCGGUGCCGUAGUUAACGCGAUAAGUGCACCGCCUGGGGAGUAUGCUCGCAAGGGUGAAACUCAAAGGAAUUGACGGGGGCCCGCACAAGCGGUGGAGCAUGUGGUUUAAUUCGAUGAUACGCGAGGAACCUUACCAGGGCUUGACAUGUACCUGACGGUCUGUGAGAGCAGGCUUUCUCUUCUGGGACGGGUACACAGGUGCUGCAUGGUUGUCGUCAGCUCGUGUCGUGAGAUGUUGGGUUAAGUCCCGCAACGAGCGCAACCCCUACUGUCUGUUGCCAGCAUUAAGUUGGGGACUCGGACGGAACUGCCGGCACAAACCGGAGGAAGGUGGGGAUGACGUCAAAUCAUCAUGGCCCUUAUGUCCUGGGCUACACACGUGCUACAAUGGCAGGUACAACGCGCAGGAGCGAAACGGUGACGUGGAGCCAAUCGCUGAAAGCCUGCCUCAGUUCGGAUUGGAGUCUGAAACUCGACUCCAUGAAGGUGGAAUCGCUAGUAAUCGCGCAUCAGCAUGGCGCGGUGAAUACGUUCCCGGGCCUUGUACACACCGCCCGUCACACCACCCGAGUUGGGGGUACCCGAAGUCGCUAGUCUAACCCAUUUAUGGGGGGACGGUGCCGAAGGUAUGCCUGGUAAGGGGGGUGAAGUCGUAACAAGGUA